GAUCAUGGCUCAGGAUGAACGCUGGCGGCGUGCUUAACACAUGCAAGUCGAACGAAGAUGCCGGAGUGCUUGCACUUUGGCAGACUGAGUGGCGGACGGGUGAGUAACGCGUGGGUAACCUGCCUUAUACAGGGGGAUAACAGUUGGAAACGACUGCUAAUACCGCAUAAGCGCACGGUAUCGCAUGAUACAGUGUGAAAAACUCCGGUGGUAUAAGAUGGACCCGCGUCUGAUUAGCUAGUUGGUGAGGUAACGGGCCCACCAAGGCGACGAUCAGUAGCCGGCCUGAGAGGGUGAACGGCCACAUUGGGACUGAGACACGGCCCAAACUCCUACGGGAGGCAGCAGUGGGGAAUAUUGCACAAUGGGGGAAACCCUGAUGCAGCGACGCCGCGUGAGUGAUGAAGUAUUUCGGUAUGUAAAACUCUAUCAGCAGGGAAGAUAAUGACGGUACCUGACUAAGAAGCACCGGCUAAAUACGUG
rnacentral:rRNA from 1 species